GGUGCCGGCAACUUCCCUACCGUUGAUGGUGCCUCAACAAACGUGCAGAUUGAUGGGAGGGUGAAACUGGUUCCACCACUUUAUUGUGGUCCCAGUUGGUGCCUGGCGCCCUGGCUGAAGGAACUGCCCCGCGAGGCAGCAAUAGGAGAGAACCAGGCAAGGGGCGAGGCAUGCUGGCGCCUCGGAUUCGCUCCCCACGUUGCCUCUGCUGCUUCCUCCAUUCAACCUGUCAGAUCCCACCUCCCUCCUCCUUCCUCCUCUCUAGGUCGGCCAUGGACGGAAGCUUUUAUUCGUGGAUCCGGCAUGGACAGAGCUCGGCACCUCCAUCAAUGGUGGCAAGAACAAAGGAUUCGACUGAUGCAACUGAUGCUGGAACCUGGUUGUCAACGGACAUGAAGGAGCAGCUUCGAUGGAGCAAGCGGCAGGCGAAAGCUAUAAGCUGGUACCCUUUCAUGUUGCUUUCUUUUUCGACUUUCAAAGCUGGUACCCAGAUGGUGCAUGGUGUUUAUGCUUGUUUCAGAAAAAAGUCAGGAGCACCAGUUCGAUUUGGUAACUUAGAUUAGGUACCGUGCUAUUUUUUUUUGGAUCUAUGGUAACCAGGAGUUCCAUCAACAAUGGUUUUACAAAAUAUGUUUAUGGAAGCAAGCAUUGGAGAGUCUAUUUGCAACUGCAAACAAAUUAGCAGUUAGUAUAGCAUCAUGACGGCUCCUUAAGGUGUACAGGUUUAAGAUAAUUUCCGUUUCAUUUUUGUUAUUGAAAUUCGUUUAUCUGAAAAGUGCCUCUUCCCGCUAAAAUAUGCCGCCCAGAUAAAUAAAUUAAUGUUUCGUAUUUCUAUUUGAGCAAAGUUAUGCAAACACUUGAAGUCUGAUCCUCCUUGUAUUUAUUGAAUAAAUAAAUUAAUGUUUCAUAUUUCUAUUUGAGAAAUAUUCA